rnacentral:rRNA from 1 species
ACUUUUCYAAUGCGGGCAACCGUGAUAAGGGAACCUSGAKUGCCWGUACAURCAGACUAUAUGGGUGUCUAAAACACACCCAAAGAAAGGGCCGGGCAAGACCGGURCCAGCCKCCGCGGUAAUACCGGCGGCUCGAGUGGUGGCCACUUUUAUUGGKCUUAAAGCGUUCGUAGCUGGGUUGUUAAGUCUCUUGGGAAAUCUGGCAGCUUAAYUGUCAGGCGUYUAAGAGAUACUGGCAAUCUAGGAACCGGGAGAGGUGAGGGGUACUUCGGGGGUAGGAGUGAAAUCYUGUAAUCCUCGAGGKACCACSUGUGGCGAAGGCGCCUCACCAGAWCGGKUUYGACAGUGAGGGACGAAARYUGGGGGAGCAAUCCGGGAUAGAUACCCGGGUAGUCCCAGCCGUA